rnacentral:rRNA from 1 species
UCCGGUGGUUAUGGCGAAGGGGAAACACCCGGUCCCAUCCCGAACCCGGAAGUUAAGCCCUUCAGCGCCGAUGGUACUGCACGGGAGACUGUGUGGGAGAGUAGGACGCCGCCGGAC